rnacentral:lncRNA from 1 species
AUAGAUGCGGUCUAGGCGGGAGGCCCCGACGCAGGGAGCUCUGUAGAAGUGGGUGUAGUCGCAACUGUGGGGGUGCAGCUGGCGGUGGCUGUCCACCAUGGUGGGGCCUGCUGCCCGAAGAAGGUCGCCAUCUCCCCGUCGCCCUCCUGGACCUGCUGUGGAGACCAGCCCUGGGUCUUCCACAAAGUUGAAGUCACCUGCCCAGACCAGCAUGGUGUCACUGUUCUCGGCUGCAUGCUUGGUGGUGGCAGACAGUGUGGCUGUAAACAGCGACUGCCGGAUCGGGG